rnacentral:rRNA from 1 species
AGCAGUCGCGGUAAUUCCAGCUCCAAUAGCGUAUAUUAAAGUUGUUGCAGUUAAAAGGCUCGUAGUUGAAUUUCGGGGUCAGUAGGUCGGUCGUGCCACUGGUAUGAACUGGUUUUACUGAUUCCUCCUUCUUGAAGAACUGUAAUGCCAUUAAUUUGGUGUUGCAGGGAAUCAGGACUGUUACUUUGAAAAAUUAGAGUGUUUAAAGCAGGCUUUAGCUUGAAUACAUUAGCAUGGAAUAAUGAAAUAGGACGUUUGAUCCUAUUUUGUUGGUUUCUAGGAUUGACGUAAUGAUUAAUAGGGAUAGUUGGGGGCAUUAGUAUUCAAUUGUCAGAGGUGAAAUUCUUGGAUUUAUUGAAGACUAACUACUGCGAAAGCAUUUGCCAAGGAUGUUUUCAUUAAUCAAGAACGAAAGUUAGGGGAUCGAAGACGAUCAGAUACCGUCGUAGUCUUAACCAUAAACUAUGCCGACUAGGGAUCGGAUGAUGUUAAUUUUUAAUGACUCAUUCGGCGCCUUAAC